GCCCAGAUAGCUCAGUUGGUAGAGCACACCCUUGGUAAGGGUGAGGUCGGCAGUUCGAAUCUGCUUCUGGGCUCCA
rnacentral:tRNA from 1 species